UACAGGGGGUGCAAACGUUGCUCGGAAUCAUUGGGCGUAAAGCGCACGUAGGCGGUCUGUUAUGUCGGAUGUGAAAGCCCUCGGCUCAACCCCGGAACUGCCUUCAAAACUGCGGGUCUGGAGGUCGAGAGAGGUGAGUGGAAUUCCGAGUGUAGAGGUGAAAUUCGUAGAUAUUCGGAGGAACACCAGUGGCGAAGGCGGCUCACUGGCUCGAACCUGACGCUGAGGUGCGAAAAGCGUGGGGAGCAAACAGG
rnacentral:rRNA from 1 species